GAAGGGGCUGAACUGGAAAAAGAAAAAACAAGGGGGGGCUUUCUAGUCUUUUCAGCCGACGGAGAACCGGUUUCGGGUAGGUCGGUGGAUCCGGACCCGAUGAUUCCAGAAUAAAAGAAAGAAAACCCUGGAAGCCCUAGAGAAAUUGUCUCCAGUUCACACAGAUCCAGGAGAGAUGUCGACGAUGGGUCCAGAAGAGGUGACAGAAGCGGAAGGAGGAGGAGGAGAGAUGUCGAUGAGGGGUCCGGAAGAAGACAGGGAUGCGAUGAUAGCGGAGGCCAAGCGGUUCGUGGAGAACUACUACAGCACGUUCGACGCGAACAGGGAGGGCUUGGUGAACCUGUACCGGCAACGAUCGGUGCUGAAAAUCGAGGGCCGGAAGAUCCAGGGCAAGGAGGCUAUCCUCGCCAAACUCAUCUCCCUUCCGCAGCCGUGCCACCACGAAUUCCCCGAGAUCAGUUGCUGCACCUAUCGCUUGGCACCCGCAUCGGCAUCGGUCGCCGUGCGCGUCCUGGUCCGCGGCGGGACGUGGUUAGGCGGCAAGAAGGAGGAGGCGGACGCCGCCCUUAUACAGCAGGUCUCUCUCGUUCUCUCUAAGUUAUUAUUUCUUGUCAACGCUUUGCAAUUUCUCUUAUCGAUCAAUCCGUUAAUCAAUCGCAUCGCGCAUAAAUACCGAGAGUACAUCUCAAGCUCCUUGUCUAACGCUCUGGCUGGCUCUGAUUCUUAACCUUCAGAGCUUCAAUCUGGUGCCAGCACGAGGAGGAAGCUUUUACAUAGCUCGACAAUCUGGGAUGCUCUUUGAUCUCAAGAAGCCUCGGUCCGGGGGUCUGUCCUACUGGCUACCGAAACCUCCCUGCUCGGCAGCGCCCUUUCUUGGCCCGUUAUAUCAAAUCCUAUCCUCGGCAUACCCGCCGACGUCGGCUGCCACGGCACCGAGUACGCCUCCGCAUUUCGAACGCCUCAGCAUUUCGAAUCCGAAUGCCACCCAUGAUGAAACUUCCUCCGUCUCUACAGAGACCUGAUGAUAAAACUGUUUUACUUUCAAUGUUCUAGACUCUUGUUUUAUUUUCAAUGUUUUGUUGCACUACUUUUGUGAAUACGUAUUGGAUUCAUGUUCGAAUCCAAGUUCAGCAUAUGUCAUACUGCUCUUAUGAACUGAACUCAGUGGCAGGGCCUUCUAAUUCUCGUGGUAAUAUACUUAAUGCUUCAUGACAUUAGCAGUGAGGAUGUUAAUAUGAUGGACAUACAUGAUGGUGGCGCAAUACCUCGCCCAUGCUUCUAGAGGAAAUAACUUUUCUUUUAACAUACAAGUUUUAUUUCAUGACUUUAAUAUAGUACAGAUAAUCAUGAGUUAAGAUAAAAAUAAAUAGGGAGCAAUUUACAUUUUGGCCGCCAUCGGCGAAAUGGAAGGUAGACAGAUGACUCUAGGACUAGAAUAUUAUAGUAAAUACUUUGUAUCCCUAGUAUUGUUUUAUGUCCGUAUAAAUUGAACCCGACUCAUUCAGCACGAAACACUCUCAAUAGAAUUCCUAACACCAACUCGCGACACCUAAAAGACUAGGAUUGCCGACUUAUAGUCAUCUGACAAAACCAGGAUUUGAGAACCUCUGCCCAUAUAGGCAAAGGCAUUUGGAACAAUUCUGACAAAAUCAGGAUUUGAGAACCUUUGCCCAUAUAGGCAAAAGCAUUCGACAAAACCCGGAUUUGAGAACCUCUGCCUAUAUAGGCAAAGGCAUUUGAAACAAUUAUGACAAAAUCAGGAUUUGAGAACCUCCGCCCAUAUAGGCAAAAGCAUUCAGAACAAUUCUACUUCACCUUGCCGAGAUCUCUCUCUCUCUCUCUCUCUCUCUCUCUCUCUCUCUCUCUCCUCAUGUCAGCCACUACCCGGUGACAACUUAAACACAUGGAACCAAAAAUAUUGGCCCCCGAGGUCUCCGUGAAUUCUUUCAACUUUGUUCAUGCGCAUACCACUUGCAGUUCAGGUGCCUAAAGUAUUAGAAAAAACCAAAUCAAAUAAUCCUUGCCAGUCAAACUGGCUGAUAGAUAAUGCACUUGAAGGAUCCAUGAAGACCCACGAAGACCAUAUAAACCAUCAUUCGAUAUUGCCUUGACACAAAUUAUGGGAGGGUAGAGUGGCUUGACAGCCUCUGCAACAGAAGGACGACAAUACUGACUUUCAGACAACCCACCUUUUAGCAAAGUUGGGCGACAACCAUGGACCUGCUCAGCCCUCAAAUAUGCCCUAGCACUCCUUGGAGUAGACAAUUGCCCAUCAAUGAAUGCACGAAAGAAGUGAUACUGUAAAACAAAUCGAGGACAAAAACUUCAUGAACAUUUACUGGCUCAACGUGGCUGUUUAUUAUUUUUCCACCGAUUUUAUUGAUAACUGUCAAGAUUGUUGAGAGAAACAACAACAAAUUCAGGUAGCGGGUGUAUCGGGGAGCACAUUACACAAUGGACUUGAUCAUUUUCAUCCUCUGCUGGAGGGGGGAGAUUUCUUAGCCUCAGAUGGUUUGUCGAUGCCACAAUCAUGUUUGUUACACUUUGUCCGGAAUGAAUAAUUUACGUUACUGCAUUGCUCACACUUCCAACUACUCUCUGGCAUUUUUGUUUUGAAAGUCACUUUAUAAAUGAGUACCAAUAUAGACGAAUACGAGGCAAGCAACACGGCCAGUAGUGAUAACUUACUAUAGUUCUUUUCAGAGUUUGAAACCUGCAGUUGAAGAGCAUAAAAAUCUGUUAAUUUAAACCAAUAAGCACUCUUCAGCUGAAACAAAUUGGCUAGAGCAAAGUUAUAGCUCCGGAAUACGAUAAACACAUGAAAGAAAGCCACAAAGUUUAAUCUCCUCAAGCUGCUAAAUUGUUUGCCAAAGCAACACCGACCCAUGAUUCAGGCUUUGGAGCAUUGCACUCUUCACACCGUUCUAAAAGAGAAGUAAACAUUUCCACAAUCCGGGCACGUCCGAUCAUUAUCGCGUGUUGCAUCUACAACGUAUUUCAAGGAAAUCUAAUGUCAGUUGGAGAUAAACCGGUAUUCUUAUUGUUAAUUCUAAAAGCAAUCACCAGCACAUGGAAUACCAACCUGCCCCCUUCUUUUGAAGUUUAUCACCGGGGAAAAAUCCCGGCCGUGGUCCCUGGGAGAAUAAAUGCCAAAACAAUGACAUGCAGAAUAUCUGAAAUAGUGAAAAGGAAAAAGCAGCAACAUCCAAAGACAGAGAAAUUUCACAUAGAUCAUGCCACCGAACCCAUCGGAAGCCCCAGCCAUAUCUGUCCAUCAUAGGAGGCAUCCCAUACAUUCCACCUGAACCGAAUCCCUUAUGGGUCGUUUUUGUCAUAUGUUUCUUUUUUAAUUAUUCUUUUGCCAUUUGUCUCGUGUGUUUUCUUGCACUGUUGGUAUAGGUAUGUAAUACAGAUGCUUCCCUUACUGUUGGUAUCUAGUCAUAUAUAGUUUAAUGAACGAAAUCUCAAAUAAUUGGUAAAUCAUUGAAGGAAUGAUGAUUAUAUUAUGUCGGUAGUCUAAUACGCAAUAUAAUAGUCGGCAAUAUGCACCCGCUAUUUUGGGAUAGUGAUCUAAAUUUUCAUAAUCUCAUAUUAUACAACUCGUGAUGUGCUAUAAUCUUGAUUUCAAAUUAUAUCAAUCAAUGCUCGAAUUUCAAAUGCAAUUACUAUUUCAACUAUGCUGUUAAUUAUGUAAUAAAAAUAAAUUUAAUAGCAUAUUAUAUGACUAAGUACAGCCUAUUACCUUAAAUUAUUUAUUUAAUUUUACAUACCGAAUAGCGAUUUUUUGAUGAUAUAUAUAGAGUACUACACUCGCGAUCGAUAUUAGGUAAUAACUACCGUGACAUAGUAUUUGCUUUGAUGCAAUCCCACGUCAUACGCUUAACUUUUGAUCAUAAUCAAUAACUAAAUUAUUAAAAGUAUAAAUAAACAUUUGAUAGAACAUAUUGUGUAUACAAUAAUUUAUAUACAAUAAUUUAUAUAGGAAGCUAAACUCAUGAGUCAAAAUUAAUUUUGAUAUUCCUUCAAAUCUUGAUUUUAGGGAAGUAUUUUUAGAUUUCUGUUCUAUUUGGACCUGGAAGAGUUUAAUCGAAACGGGAGUAGUCGCAGGUAGAAUGCUUCCUGAUGCGGCCUUUUUGGGUUUGGCCCGUUUUGGGUGGGUGGGGAGGGGCAGAGUCGUGACUGAGUUGAGCCGCUUAGGGGCUAUUUGGGCUCUACUUAUUAAUCAAUCAUCAGAGCAUGAGCCUCUGGACUCAUGAUCACCACGUAAGCAGAAACCAUCUCAAGACAGAAAGAAAACCAGAUAGAGCUUGACGACAUUAGCUCAUAUGUGAAAGAACAGAGUCUAAUCCCCAUCGGAGGUUCCAUUUUAGCCAGGAUAGAACUUAAGCUCAACAGGUUGACAUUUAGGCAAGAGAUGAAGGAGAUGAGCAACCAUCUGUGGUAAGGGCUUGCAAGAAGCAAGAGACUCCAAGGACAAAUGGAAAAAGGGGUACUAAAAAAUUAAGAGAAUAGUUGGCUAGGAAAGGUCUCAUGAUGAUAAGAGAGGACAUAGACUUCUCCUUAAGUAUCAUGCGGAAGAAGCUAAAUAAUAUAAAGUGGCACCUGAGAAUAGACUCUUAACUUUACAAGUGACAUUCUAUCAUUCAGACCACCUGCUGUUAACAGAGGAGGAUUUAACUGUAUCAUGACAUAGAACAAAACAAAGCUACAAAAGUAAGCUAGACAGCUCCAGAUCUACCUAUCAAGAUUUCAAACUCAAGCGACUCCUCGACAAUGUUUUCUAGAACUCGAUGAUUUUUCUGUAACAUUCCCUUUGCUUUGCGACAAGCCAAAUAGUACAUCUGCGAAACAAGGAUCCAUCAAAGAAUCUUGCACUCGACCAGAGAUUUGCGGCUCUUUCAAUUUGGACUAUUGAAUAAUAGUAAGCCAGACAAAGCCUCAUAGCAACGGACAAAUGCCUUUUCGACUUUAGCAUGGUUGUUCCCCAUGCUCAAAGCUGUAACCUAGAGAAAUAGAAACGUACAAACAGAAUUAAGGUAAAGCGCAUCAAAGAUUCCCAGCUGGAACAUGAAGCUUCAAUACAUAACAGCGUCGAGAAUGAUCCGCAUUUGUCCAUUUCACAAUCAUAAAGUGCAUGCAAAAUGGACCGGAGAAGUACUGCACUACUGUGAUAGUAAAUUGCAGGACUGUCUCCGCCGGUACUUGUGGAUUCAAUCGUGCAAGAAGGGGGGACACCAUUUGCUUCUCAUCAAGCCCCCAACCGUACUGAAUGACCAUUCCUGUCGCCAUCCGUCACAGGUUAUGUAUCUUAAUAUAUAUGUCUACAUGUAUUCACCUUUCGCUGUGAGAGUUUUCUCAUGAAAGGUAAUCUAAGGUAGAGAACAUCGACAAACUUCUCAAAGCAUAAUGUUACAGGACCAACCUCUUGAGUUUGCUUCAGUUCGGAAGAAGAGAGAAAAUUCUUCCCCGGGAGGAAGUAGAAGCUGUGAAGCAACAUCCAAACCAAAGCAAAAUACAAGCUACUUUUCAAGGUAUGAUCUUAGUUCUGAGUUAGCAUUAACAGAGCCUUCACUCCGUGCCUCGGUGAUCUUUGUACAGCCAAUUCCCUGCAAGAAAGGGGUCAAAGUGAACGUCUUUAUAAGACCAAGGGCUCUAAAAUCCCAUAAGGCAUGCAUCUGCAAAUAACUUCUCCUGCGAAGAGGAGAACAAGAACAACCCAGGACACAUGUGGAUACGCUCAAUGUAGCACAAUGAUUAAAUUAAAUCUGCCAAAAUGCUCCAAUGACAGAUAAAGCCAUAAAUAGACAUCUCACGUCAUUGUGUUCGACUGUUUUGAUAUCCCGUUUCAUAUUAAACUCUUGAUCCUUAGAUACGACGGCAAGGAUCAUGGCCAACAAAAGCAUGGGACUGAUUCACUGAGUGCCCAGAUAAAGAAGGUAAUUUAUCAUUUCAAUAGCAUGAAUGGAUGACAGUACCACUGAAUGAAAAGUUCGAUAACGAACAACAUGCCAAUGCACAUAGCUUGUAAAGUGCCAGAAGGAAAAAGCACAAAAAAGAUUGAAAUGGCGAGCUGACAUCCAUGAAGGAUGACAUUCCCUGUUCAGCAGUAGAACAGGACCCCUAAAAUAGGAAUAAGGCUCUUGCAGGUACUUGCUCAUAAGCUUAAUAAGGCGCAUGCUAUUUCAUUACAAGAAAGAAAAAGAGGACAAUAACCUGCCACGAAGAUGGUUCAAGCCACAAAUUGUCGACUACAUCAAAGUUUGAUAGUCAAAGAGCUAUAAGGCCAUGACCAGCUGCCCAAACAGCAUGAGGGAACUUGGUUUCCUCUGUCCACUUUCAAAUCAUCCAUAUUAUGCAAGUCGCCUCGAAGAAACCAACGGAACUUGUACGCAUAAUGAUAUCAUCGUUUGUUCGCCGGUCUGGGUAUAUCAAGUUAGCUAAAUUUUUAGAACAAUGAUUCGUAUCUGAUAACCCUACCACCUUCUAUUUUUAACCACUGAAUUUGUUGUACUCCCGAUUCUUUAGAGUGCGCAAAAAAUAAAACAGCAGAAAUUUAUAGAUUAGAAUUUUGUCAAUUUUUAGAAUUGUUCGGAAGACAAUAGCCCGGGAUAGUCCAACAAACUAAUAGUAAGCAUCAAGGAGAAUUAAUUGAGCAUAACUCCAUUGUUUAUUUGGCCGUACGGUUCAAUUAGAUCAACGACAUUCUGUGAGUCCUCCUCAGUCAAUGUCAGCCCCAGAUGAUUCACCAGCAUUCGGCUAAUCUGCCUCACAACUUUCGUUUGCCGAAUCCAUUUAGGAACCAUAUUGCUCAAGGCCUAUGCAAAAUAAUGAGCGAAUAAUAUGCAUAUGGUAUAAAAUAUAUCACAUAAUGGGUAACCGCUCCAACCUCCAAAACUUCCAUUUUUACUCUCCUCCGAGAAUGAGAUUAGAGCACAAAGUCCCGGUGCUUAUUGGUUUUAGCAAAGAGAAAAUGAUCGAUUCAAGCAGAACUGAAUUUUGCUUCCCCUUACUCUUCGUCAAUUAUAAUUUAUUUUCCCUUUCCGCUGAACAAAAGAAAAAGGGACAUGCAGCCAGUUCCAUGGACCCCCGGGAAUCGGAUCGGGCAAAUCCGAAUCCAAAGCCGAAUAGGUUGGUUCCCAAUUUCACAAACUAGGACCCAGCCCCGUCUGGUCAAGUUCCCGGUUCCGGAGUGGGCCAAUUUAGCUCAGAAUCUACCCAUAAUCGGGUUCAAACAGUUCAGAGAAAAUUCAAAAUAACUUGGAAUUACCACCGCUCAAAGUUAGAAAAUCAAUCGUCAAAAAAAGUUAAAAAAUCAACAUCCCACUGAGAACCUUUCAGAUCAUCAUGUAACGUCAACUGAAAAUACAUUAGAUCAGAUCUAACGUAUUGUCUUCACUGACAUGUGCCGACUUUUGCCAACAAAUUGGAAGACGUUUAAUCCCCUUAAUCCCCUCGAUUUCUUCCUCGAUUCAAAAAUCUUCAAUCGGAAUUUAACUUUAUCAAUUCGCAAAGUUUCCAAAUCCAAUGGGGUGUCGGAACUUGUUCGGAGGUCUUGUGAGCAUGCAUCAAUCCCCGUUAGAUAUCAGAAUGAGGAGUCCAACAAGAGAAUACAGCUGAAAUCCAAGCGCCUCAAUUCUCAAGUCAAAUAUAAGCUAUCCAGAACUGCAAAUCCACCAGCGACUCCACCUUCAUGUGAUGAUGAUAUCUUUGUUCUCAUUAAAUAACCACACUGUUCAUUUACGAUGACAUUCUCUUUCUUCCUGGUAAGAUCAAUCUCAGAUUACCAUGAGCACAUCAAAUGCAUUUACAAACAUUGUCGCUGAAUUCACUAGUGCUAACACGUGCGAACAACGGUGCUGUAGAAGGCAUGAAAUAAAUUAAAAAAAGAAGCUUUGGUUAUCAGAUUUUCCCAUCCGACUCCAACUGCAAAGAUUAAAUUCCAAGUCAUUGAUUUUAAUUAAUCCGAGAUCACAUCCAUCAAACUAAUGAGAGAUGGAGCGACAUCAAAAAAUUACCUCACAUAAGCACCAUAUACCCCGAGUUCUGACAUGGCGUGAUCUUUAUAACAAAUGCCAUCACGAAUGAGAGUUGUGGGAGAAAUGGACGGAAAAAUUCUUUGCAUAAGGAUAUAGGCAGCAUCCUCCUCACUACCUUCACGUUGCAGCCUUAAUAGGGUUUCUCUCACGUCGUCGCCAUAGAUGUUGUUCCCUAAAGAGAGAAAUGACUUCAUUUUAGAAAGAAGAUAGCGCGGCUUAUAACAAAGCAAUCCUUGAAUAAUAUAAUCAAGGUGAGAGAUAAUUACCUCCCCCUUCCCUCUGGGGCUUCAUGACAAAUAGCUCGGGACUUUCAAUUGCUUUACCAACAAUAUGAGGGUCUUCUAAGCUCCAUAAACCUGCAAAGGAUUUCUGGAUCUCGGCAAUGUCUUCUUUGUUCUCAAGGAAUCUGAUAUAUGCACCAAUGGAGUCUCGUAAGUGAUCAAACACGUAGGAGAUAGAGUCUAUUCGACAGUGCAUCUUCUCCUGUAAUUAAAUUGACUUCUAAUGUUCCCAUCGAUAUGUUAUCGAGACUGUUCGGUAAGACAUAUGAAAGGAGCUAAAAUGGCCAUUUGGUAUUAAAAGUAGUCCUUAAUUCGCAGUCCUGGGUGCCAUUGAUUACAUCUAAGCUUCAAACUCAACUAAACAUCAUCAUAUUAGCUAUUGUUGUAUGCAUAGCACACAUCUAUAUACAUUUGUGCUUCAGGAGUUUUUCCAGGAAUGGUACGAUUCCAUAUAAAGCACAGAGCAUCCAGCGCCGCUGCUGGUGGCGCUGUCCUGCCUUCCUCCAUAUCCGGGAGCCCCACCUCCUCCAGUACCGCCUCCAGUAGUGCCUGUGCCCGGGAUCGGUCCUCCUCCAACUCCUCCGCUGCCUGUCCUUCAUCCAUGGCAUCUGGUUCCGUACGGAAGACGGAAAAUACAAGGGUUGCUCCCUGCUGUGCUGUCAUUUGCAGAAUAAAACUCUAGAGCAAAACACAAAUCAGUAUUCUUCCUAUUCCCAAAAAAAAGACAGCAAAAGAAAAGAGAAUACAUGGUUGAAGUUGUAUGGUAGCACAACUUCCUCUUCCCUCCCAUACUGUCCACCAAAGGAGGCGUAGAUGCGUUGAGCGACGUGGUCAACGAACGCAUCGAACUCAUCCAAAUUGAACUUGAAACUAUCCAAGCCGUUCACAAAUGCAGCAAUGGCGUCUGGGGUCCCAAGACGGACCCCAUCAAAAUCCAUGCUCGCUUCAUCAUAAAAGCUUAUCAGCUCUUGCCUAUCUGUUUCCAAAGAAAGAUGGUAUAAUGUACCCCAUUCUGCCGCCAGGUCUUUGAGUCCUUCAUCAUCCAUACCUCUGUUCUGUUCAAGAACAACAGGUGCAACCAACAUACGCAUAAAGAAAAAAAGGAAAAAAAAAAUGGCAGAGCUCGACCUCAUUUCCACAUACUGACCUGUCGACGACGCUCGAAGGGAAAAAGACGGUGGAGCCUCACCGCGAUCGCCGUCCGACGUUUGCAGAGAUUCGACGACGAAAUGAGAGAGCGGGGCGGUAUUCUGUUUAGGAUGACCGAGAAAUGGGUUUUCUCUUCCACCAAUCAGAGUUUUAAAUUUGGGAAAACACGUUUCGCGACGUCGUUUAUACUAUGUAUGCGGAGUUAGAGCAUGGGUGAGCCAAGUCAGAUUGAAAAAAAAAAAAAAAUUGAUAAAAUAUUACUUAUUUUGAAUUUUCAACUAUUCAAAUCAAAGUUAACACUUGAAGUGAAUCAAUAAAGCUACAUCUACCACCACCGCCCGGCCACCAAUCUUUCCUUACACGAGAUACGAGAUUCGAGAUUGGACAGGAUAAUUCCUACUCGCCGACAUUAGACAACUCUCAAAUGGAUGAACUGGCAUUGGAUAGAGCCGUCUGAUUGGGGCAUUUUUCUGCUUCUAGGGUUUGUGUGUGGAAAUCGAACUUACUUAAAUUGUGAAGAUGUUUAAACCAAUUCGAAUUUUGUGAAAGAUAUUUCUGCUUCUAGGAUUUGUGUGUGUGGAAAUCAAACUUACUUAAAUUGUGAAGAUGUUUAAACCAAUUCGAAUUUGUGAAAAACACGUACACAUCAGCAUUCAAAGCCCCCCUCAAAUUUAGUCGGGAUAUUUCUAUUAAUCAAGAUAAUAUAUAUAAUGAUUUCCCAACAAUAGUCAUAAAACUUAUUAUAAGGAUACCAAUUCAGUCUAAAAUUUUUCAAUUUGGUUAAUUCAGUCCUAACCUUUUAUUAAGAUUUGUCAAUAGUCUAUUCGAGCAAUUUUAAAUGACGAUAGGUGGUUGUUAGCCAAAAUUGACCGAAAUUGCUAUAUUGGUAAAUCUUCAAAAGUUUAGAAUUGAAUUAACAAAUUGAAAUUUUUUGAUUGAAUUUGCAUUUAUAUAUUAAGCUUGAGACUUAAAAAGAAAAAUCUCAUGUGCAUCGGUGGAGAAUCCGAAUGCGGUGUCAUAUCUUUUCAUUUGAAAUGUCAAUGUUUGAUACGCAUGCUGUGUUAAGCUGUAUAACGACAUGAAAACCAAAGUCCGUACAUCAUAUCUGGAAAGAUUUCGAUCGGCUAAGGACAAAUACCCAGUUAUUAUCCUACAUGGGAAAUCCGCCAACCGCGCGGUGGCAAGUCAAUGAUUUCAUCUCAAGGAUUGACCACCGAGGUGGCCAGAGCAGCACCUCACAUUUGGCUUUUGUAGAAGAAGAAUCAAAGCGCUUUUCUUUUUGGUAUAUCUAUGAUGAUGAUGAUAUUAUUAUUAUUAUUAUUAUUAUUAUUAUUAUUAUUAUUAUUAUUAUUAUUAUUAUUAUUAUUGAUCUAAUUCUCACGCACUCAAUAUAAUAUUCACACAUACCACGAGGACAUCUAGAGGACCGCAUGCACAUACGUAAGGUAUUCAUUUAUUUAUUCUUGGGUUUCCACGUUGUCUCUUCCUUUUUCUCCUUUUUCUUUUUUCAUUUUUAUAUUCCUUAGAAAUUAGCAGCCCCUUUAGAAGAAGCCUCUAUUCAAGGGGAAGAAAAGGUCGUCCCGGACUCCCCCAUCAUUGAGGUUCCACUAAAAUGACCAUUAAUUCAGGUUUUAAAUUCAAAGAGAUGAUCUCAGGUACCAACUCCUAACAAAAAAAUUAAAUUGGUCUAUACCAUGGUUUUGAUAAUUCAAACAUGAAUGUUUGUCUAAGGGAGAACCAUCACUUCAACGGGUUGCUUAUUAAACUCUCUUUUGAACUUAUCGUGGAAUCAAGCUGAAUUUCAGAUGAUGACAACAAGAGCAUAUGCAGGUGCAUGGUGCUUGCAUGUAUCUUUGCGAUAUAUGGGAAAUUGGGCCAUUUGCAUGAAAAAGUUGUAGGUGCUUCUUACUUUCUUAGUUUGCUAUUGAAAGCACACGGAAAUCGAAAACCAUGGAGAAGUCUAUCAAGUGACUAAACUUGAUUAAUUUGUAGAGCAUGGCACCUGGAGUUAGGCGUAUCGUCGGUUUUGAAUUUCAACUGGUUGUUUAUUAAACUCUCUUUUGAACUUAUCGUGGAAUCAAACUGAAUUUCAGAUGAUGGCAUCAAAAACAUGUACAAGUCGCCACGCCUGCGUGUAUAUUUGCGAUAUAUGGAAAUGGAAAUCAAAAUCGGGCCACUUGCAUGGAAAAAGUUGGAAUUGCUUUUUACUUUCUUAGUUGGCUAUUGAAAGCACACGGAAAUUGAAAACUAUGGAGAAGUCCAUCAAGUGACUAACCUUGAUUAAUCUGUAGAGUUAGGCGUACCGUCGGUCUUGAAUUUUCCAUAUGCAUCGUGAUGGGGGUAUAGAUAAGGGCUUUGCCUAGUAGAGAGGGGUGCGCACGCUAAAUUUUCAGCAUUAAGCUAAAACAUUCUCCUGUGGGUGAUCUAUAGUCUACUGACGCUAGACGCUCUUCUUUUUUCUUUUUCUUUUUUUUUUUUUUUUUUUGGGUGUGAAAUUAAAAAAGAAAAAAGAAGUAAAAGAAGUAAAACUUGUUAGAAACAAUAAUUAUCAAGUUGGAAUGUAGAAAUCAUGUUCAAUGUAUUGUUACUGUGAUUUAAUAUUUGCUUCUUUUCGUUUCUAAUUUGCUAAUAACUUGACAUCCCUUCUAUAGUUAAAAAGGAUUGUGAUAGUUGCGGACGAAGACUUUUGCAUUACAUUGUUUAGGCUGUUCUUUCACAUGCAUUGCUUGUCACUAUAUAGUAAUGAUAUUUUAAAAUGAGCAAUAAACUUACAUCUUAACCCAUAUUUGAUAAGUUGAGUUAUUGCAUGGAUUAGUUAUAUUUAGUAAAUGGAUUUAAAAUAGUAAAGUCUAAGAUAAUAUGGAUAUUAAACAAACUCACAGUUUACUUAAACCAAUUCACCUCUAUGACUCUCUCUCGCCCUUACUGAUCUCGCAAUCACUCACUCCACGUCCUUACCUCAGUUUGCAUAUGAGUUUUCCUAUAUUAGGUAGAACAUGAAAGCGCUUUAACCAUAUGAAUUAGGUUAGAUAGAAAAACGCGUCGGAUCAUUAUGAGUAUCUAAAUUUGUAUUGCAUAAAAAUAAGUCAAAACAACUUAAAUUGGCCAAAUUAGGUCAAUCUAUUUUUCACUCAACCCAAACCCAACCUAAUCCACCCAUUUCACGAGUCUCUAUAAUACUAAGUAUUAGGUUUUUAUCUCUUGUUUCCAACUAUACAAUUUCUUUUUUUUUUUUCUAAAGUAUUAAAGCUCGAUGGUCAGAGUUCUAAUCCUAACCCCAACACAUACUUUUCUUCACGCGUACUUCGAUUUUUGGCAUGCCCACAUUUGUCUACCUUUUCCAUUCUUGUUGUCAUAGAAUCCUCACCAUGUCCUAAAUUGAGGAAUGAAUUAGACUGAAGAAGUAAUUUCGUAGGGAAGUCGACUCAUGCCGUUUGUUGAGAAGAUCGCCUCAAAGUAAAUGGAUUGAUUCGCUUGGAGGAAAUUAAUGUGCAGAUGUCGGUGCGUUUGACAUUUUUUUUUUUUUUUUAAAAUAUCAUUUGUAUUGAAUGACUAAAAGGUAUUUUUAUAUUUCUAUGCAAAUAUUUAAAAAUAAAUGGUUAUCGAUAAAGAAAUUACUUUGUAUUGAUUAAUUAUUUCAUAAAAUAAGCAAUUAUUUUUAAAAUAUAUAUUUUCAGAUUAUUUAUUUUUCACCAAACAAACGGAGUUUGCCUAAUUGUUCGAUUGAUGCUAUUGGUGUUUCUUUUCAAUUCAAUCGUCACGAUAGCAAUAUGAUUAGAUCUUUUUAAAGUCUGAUUCGUUUGCUUUUACGCUAGGAUUUAUAUUUCCUUAAAAGACUUUGAAACCACAUAGCGGUACCUCUCUUGCAUACAUGCUCUUGGGACCACUAUAGUUAAUGCCCAGAUGUGAAGUUGCUUUGGUCACCCCUCCCAACCCAUUUUAAUCUAAAAUAAAAUAUUGACAGAAGGAUAAUAACUCACUCAGCACAUAUCCGAACUUUUGUCCAUCUUAUUAUCAAAUAUCUCAACUUUUUAUUUAUUUGAUCAAGUACCUCAAUUAUUCAAAUUUAACUCAAUAAAAGAUCUCUAGAGAAUAAAUUGUAUUCAUUUCUGUUUUGACUUUUUCAACAACGAAAACCUCUGGCAUAUGAUAUGGCUCGAGUCCUCCACAACUCCAUUAAGCAUUGAUGGAGGAGACUCGUCGUCAAAAGGAACUGCUGAUGAAAAUUCCACUCUGAGAAAGGUACCCACGUAAUUGGAACGGCAGUAGGGAUCCCAGAAGCAAGCAUCUUCACGUACAACCCAUCAAAGCCCCCAAACUCUUCAAACAGCCUUUCAAAUUCCUGGAAUCAUGCAGAAUAACAUUAAAAACCCAAAGAAAUGAAUAAUGCAAAGAAGAAACUAUAAGUUGAAAGAUGCAGUACCUUGAUGUUGACAUGAUAUUCCUUUGUGUCCCCCCUUCAAAGCACCCCAAUCAUGUCUGAAUUGUGCACUGUCUAUAAGCUUCUUGGAUGCAGCAUAAGUUACAGCUACGAGAUCCAUUUCCCACCUAUUUUUCACAUCAUUGUACCUUGUUUUGGACCUCGGUCCAAGAGAAUCUGUUCCUUCAAAGGUGUAAAAAAAUCCAUCAAUCCAAAUUCAGGCGAAGAAGGGGCUGAACUGGAAAAAGAAAAAACAAGGGGGGGCUUUCUAGUCUUUUCAGCCGACGGAGAACCGGUUUCGGGUAGGUCGGUGGAUCCGGACCCGAUGUUUCCAGAAUAAAAAAGAAAACCCUGGAAGCCCUGGAGAAAUUGUCUCCAGUUCACACAGAUCCAGGAGAGAUGUCGACGAUGGGUCCAGAAGAGGUGACAGAAGCGGAAGGAGGAGGAGGAGAGAUGUCGAUGAGGGGUCCGGAAGAAGACAGGGAUGCGAUGAUAGCGGAGGCCAAGCGGUUCGUGGAGAACUACUACAGCACGUUCGACGCGAACAGGGAGGGCUUGGUGAACCUGUACCGGCAACGAUCGGUGCUGAAAAUCGAGGGCCGGAAGAUCCAGGGCAAGGAGGCUAUCCUCGCCAAACUCAUCUCCCUUCCGCAGCCGUGCCACCACGAAUUCCCCGAGAUCAGUUGCUGCACCUAUCGCUUGGCACCCGCAUCGGCAUCGGUCGCCGUGCGCGUCCUGGUCCGCGGCGGGACGUGGUUAGGCGGCAAGAAGGAGGAGGCGGACGCCGCCCUUAUACAGCAGGUCUCUCUCGUUCUCUCUAAGUUAUUAUUUCUUGUCAACGCUUUGCAAUUUCUCUUAUCGAUCAAUCCGUUAAUCAAUCGCAUCGCGCAUAAAUACCGAGAGUACAUCUCAAGCUCCUUGUCUAACGCUCUGGCUGGCUCUGAUUCUUAACCUUCAGAGCUUCAAUCUGGUGCCAGCACGAGGAGGAAGCUUUUACAUAGCUCGACAAUCUGGGAUGCUCUUUGAUCUCAAGAAGCCUCGGUCCGGGGGUCUGUCCUACUGGCUACCGAAACCUCCCUGCUCGGCAGCGCCCUUUCUUGGCCCGUUAUAUCAAAUCCUAUCCUCGGCAUACCCGCCGACGUCGGCUGCCACGGCACCGAGUACGCCUCCGCAUUUCGAACGCCUCAGCAUUUCGAAUCCGAAUGCCACCCAUGAUGAAACUUCCUCCGUCUCUACAGAGACCUGAUGAUAAAACUGUUUUACUUUCAAUGUUCUAGACUCUUGUUUUAUUUUCAAUGUUUUGUUGCACUACUUUUGUGAAUACGUAUUGGAUUCAUGUUCGAAUCCAAGUUCAGCAUAUGUCAUACUGCUCUUAUGAACUGAACUCAGUGGCAGGGCCUUCUAAUUCUCGUGGUAAUAUACUUAAUGUUUCAUGACAUUAGCAGUGAGGAUGUUAAUAUGAUGGAUAAACACUGCUCCUCUCGACAAUACCUCGCCCAUGCUUCUAGAGGAAAUAACUUUUCUUUUAACAUACAAGUUUUAUUUCAUGACUUUAAUAUAGUACAGAUAAUCAUGAGUUAAGAUAAAAAUAAAUAGGGAGCAAUUUACAUUUUGGCCGCCAUCGGCGAAAUGGAAGGUAGACAGAUGACUCUAGGACUCUCUACCAACGAAUUCAGCGGAGCGAGCCGGUCAUUUGACAAGUUGAUUAUGACAUUUUCAGAUAAAUGCAGGAGAAGCGUAUCCUUUUUUUACACCUUUAUUUGAGACUUUGCGGGGCUCCUCCCUUGCAUUGACCGUGCUUAUCCAGCGUCGAGAUUGAUCCGCAUUUGUCCAUUUCACAAUCAUAAAGUGCAUGCAAAAUGGACCGGAGAAGUACUGCAUUACUGUGAUAGUAAAUUGCAGGACUGUCUCCGCCGGUACUUGUGGAUUCAAUCGUGCAAGAAGGGGGGACACCAUUUGCUUCUCAUCAAGCCCCCAACCGUACUGAAUGACCAUUCCUGUCGCCAUCCGUCACAGGUUAUGUAUCUUAAUAUAUAUGUCUACAUGUAUUCACCUUUCGCUGUGAGAGUUUUCUCAUGAAAGGUAAUCUAAGGUAGAGAACAUCGACAAACUUCUCAAAGCAUAAUGUUACAGGACCAACCUCUUGAGUUUGCUUCAGUUCGGAAGAAGAGAGAAAAUUCUUCCCCGGGAGGAAGUAGAAGCUGUGAAGCAACAUCCAAACCAAAGCAAAAUACAAGCUACUUUUCAAGGUAUGAUCUUAGUUCUGAGUUAGCAUUAACAGAGCCUUCACUCCGUGCCUCGGCGAUCUUUGUACAGCCAAUUCCCUGCAAGAAAGGGGUCAAAGUGAACGUCUUUAUAAGACCAAGGGCUCGAAAAUCCCAUAAGGCAUGCAUCUGCAAAUAACUUCUCCUGCGAAGAGGAGAACAAGAACAACCCAGGACACAUGUGGAUACGCUCAAUGUAGCACAAUGAUUAAAUUAAAUCUGCCAAAAUGCUCCAAUGACAGAUAAAGCCAUAAAUAGACAUCUCACGUCAUUGUGUUCGACUGUUUUGAUAUCCCGUUUCAUAUUAAACUCUUGAUCCUUAGAUACGACGGCAAGGAUCAUGGCCAACAAAAGCAUGGGACUGAUUCACUGAGUGCCCAGAUAAAGAAGGUAAUUUAUCAUGUCAAUAGCAUGAAUGGAUGACGGUACCACUGAAUGAAAAGUUCGAUAACGAACAACAUGCCAAUGCACAUAGCUUGAAAAGUGCCAGAAGGAAAAAGCACAAAAAAGAUUGAAAUGGCGAGCUGACAUCCAUGAAGGAUGAUGACAUUCCCUGUUCAGCAGUAGAACAGGACCCCUAAAAUAGGAAUAAGGCACUUGCCGGUACUUGCUCAUGAGCUUAAUAAGGCGCAUGCUAUUUCAUUACGAGAAAGAAAAAGAGGACAAUAACCUGCCACGUACAUGGUUCAAGCCACAAAUUGUCGACAACAUCAGAGUUUGAUAGUCAAAGAGCUAUAAGGCCAUGACCAGCCGCCCAAACAGCAUGAGGGAACUUGGUUUCCUCUGUCCACUUUCAAAUCGUCCAUAUUAUGCAAGUCACCUCAAAGAAACCAACGGAACUUGUACGCAUAACGAUAUCAUCGUUUGCUCGCUGGUCCGGGUAUAUCAAGUUAGCUAAAAUUUUAGAACAAUGAUUCUUAUCUGAUAACCCUACCACCUUCUAUUUUUAACCACUGAAUUUGUUGUACUCCCGAUUCUUUAGAGUGCGCAAAAAAUAAAACAGCAGAAAUUUAUAGAUUAGAAUUUUGUCAAUUUUUAGAAUUGUUCGGAAGACAAUAGCCCGGGAUAGUCCAACAAACUAAUAGUAAGCAUCAAGGAGAAUUAAUUGAGCAUAACUCCAUUGUUUAUUUGGCCGUACGGUUCAAUUAGAUCAACGACAUUCUGUGUGUCCUCCUCAGUCAAUGUCAGCCCCAGAUGAUUCACCAGCAUUCGGCUAAUCUGCCUCACAACUUUCGUUUGCCGAAUCCAUUUAGGAACCAUAUUGCUCAAGGCCUAUGCAAAAUAAUGAGCGAAUAAUAUGCAUAUGGUAUAAAAUAUAUCACAUAAUGGGUAACCGCUCCAACCUCCAAAACUUCCAUUUUUACUCUCCUCCGAGAAUGAGAUUAGAGCACAAAGUCCCGGUGCUUAUUGGUUUUAGCAAAGAGAAAAUGAUCGAUUCAAGCAGAACUGAAUUUUGCUUCCCCUUACUCUUCGUCAAUUAUAAUUUAUGUUCCCUUUCCUCUGAACAAAAGAAAAAGGGACAUGCAGCCAGUUCCAUGGACCCCCGGGAAUCGGAUCGGGCAAAUCCGAAUCCAAAGCCGAAUAGGUUGGUUCCCAAUUUCACAAACUAGGACCCAGCCCCGUCUGGUCAAGUUCCCGGUUCCGGAGUGGGCCAAUUUAGCUCAGAAUCUACCCAUAAUCGGGUUCAAACAGUUCAGAGAAAAUUCAAAAUAACUUGGAAUUACCACCGCUCAAAGUUAGAAAAUCAAUCGUCAAAAAAAGUUAAAAAAUCAACAUCCCACUGAGAACCUUUCAGAUCAUCAUGUAACGUCAACUGAAAACACAUUAGAUCAGAUCUAACGUAUUGUCUUCACUGACAUGUGCCGACUUUUGCCAACAAAUUGGAAGACGUUUAAUCCCCUUAAUCCCCUCGAUUUCUUCCUCGAUUCAAAAAUCUUCAAUCGGAAUUUAACUUUAUCAAUUCGCAAAGUUUCCAAAUCCAAUGGGGUGUCGGAACUUGUUCGGAGGUCUUGUGAGCAUGCAUCAAUCCCCGUUAGAUAUCAGAAUGAGGAGUCCAACAAGAGAAUACAGCUGAAAUCCAAGCGCCUCAAUUCUCAAGUCAAAUAUAAGCUAUCCAGAACUGCAAAUCCACCAGCGACUCCACCUUCAUGUGAUGAUGAUAUCUUUGUUCUCAUUAAAUAACCACACUGUUCAUUUACGAUGACAUUCUCUUUCUUCCUGGUAAGAUCAAUCUCAGAUUACCAUGAGCACAUCAAAUGCAUUUACAAACAUUGUCGCUGAAUUCACUAGUGCUAACACGUGCGAACAACGGUGCUGUAGAAGGCAUGAAAUAAAUUAAAAACAGAAGCUUUGGUUAUCAGAUUUUCCCAUCCGACUCCAACUGCAAAGAUUAAAUUCCAAGUCAUUGAUUUUAAUUAAUCCGAGAUCACAUCCAUCAAACUAAUGAGAGAUGGAGCGACAUCAAAAAAUUACCUCACAUAAGCACCAUAUACCCCGAGUUCUGACAUGGCGUGAUCUUUAUAACAAAUGCCAUCACGAAUGAGAGUUGUGGGAGAAAUGGACGGAAAAAUUCUUUGCAUAAGGAUAUAGGCAGCAUCCUCCUCACUACCUUCACGUUGCAGCCUUAAUAGGGUUUCUCUCACGUCGUCGCCAUAGAUGUUGUUCCCUAAAGAGAGAAAUGACUUCAUUUUAGAAAGAAGAUAGCGCGGCUUAUAACAAAGCAAUCCUUGAAUAAUAUAAUCAAGGUGAGAGAUAAUUACCUCCCCCUUCCCUCUGGGGCUUCAUGACAAAUAGCUCGGGACUUUCAAUUGCUUUACCAACAAUAUGAGGGUCUUCUAAGCUCCAUAAACCUGCAAAGGAUUUCUGGAUCUCGGCAAUGUCUUCUUUGUUCUCAAGGAAUCUGAUAUAUGCACCAAUGGAGUCUCGUAAGUGAUCAAACACGUAGGAGAUAGAGUCUAUUCGACAGUGCAUCUUCUCCUGUAAUUAAAUUGACUUCUAAUGUUCCCAUCGAUAUGUUAUCGAGACUGUUCGGUAAGACAUAUGGAAGGAGCUAAAAUGGCCAUUUGGUAUUAAAAGUAGUCCUUAAUUCGCAGUCCUGGGUGCCAUUGAUUACAUCUAAGCUUCAAACUCAACUAAACAUCAUCAUAUUAGCUAUUGUUGUAUGCAUAGCACACAUCUAUAUACAUUUGUGCUUCAGGAGUUUUUCCAGGAAUGGUACGAUUCCAUAUAAAGCACAGAGGAUGAAGAAAUGUGAUCUGUUGAACAAAAUAUAUCACCUUUCAAGUACAUUAGGUUUUGCAAGUUCUUGCUGAAUCUUUUUCGUGCCGGCUAAAUGAUAAGAUAUGGAUGGGCACUUAAUUGCAGAUGACUCUUCCGUAAGUAGCCUUGCUCUCCAUUCCUACAAUACAGCAAGAAACAAAACUUAAGUCACACCUUUCAAGCAUUGACCCAGGGCUUAAGAUUUCCGCACUUCUUACUAUUUUAUAACAUAGGGUUUUCAAGUGGCACUAAUUUGACGCCUGUCAACUUCUUGAGGUUGUGUGAAGAAUGGAUUUCAUAUUUCCUCUUAUUGGUUUCUUUCCAUUCCCUCUGUUUACUUACUUUGUGGAUAAUCAUUUAUUUGCCUUCCACCCAGAAAUUUUUUUAAGUUGAUGAUAUUUUCUGGAACAAAGUCCACUUUUUCCAUAACCAAUUGGACAAACUUGGUUAUUUGGAGGAAAUGUCAUGAUUACAUUGUUUAGUAUUCUUUUACAUCGCAUAAUGCUAUAUGUUUUGAACAUGAAGUCAAUUGUUUAGCCAAGCUUGGCUUACGAAUGUUCAUAUGUACAUUAUCAAGUAUUGUUCAUUGUGGCCAGUCUCAUGGAAUUAUGAUAUAGUAAUGAGGGAAUCCUAACAAUCAAAAUGUGCAGGAAAUAGAGAAGUAUAUUAUAAUCAUGAAUCUAACAGAAAUAAUCGACUUGCAUAAAACAUCAUGAUGAUACUAAUAAUUGUUCUAUUCAGUCAUCAAGACAUAUAAAAGCGAAUCUUUAUGAAAACUAGAGUAAGGAUGCAGUCACUAUAACAUUGUAAGAAAUGCUGCCACAGAAAUAUUUUAUGAGAAGAAUAAAACCCGCCUCAAACGCGGGAUUUUCACUAGUAUGGUAAUAAAACAUAUCUAUAAAGAAAGCAUCUGGUAAAGCUAAAAUGGAAGGAGAAAUUUUCUGAAAAUUAAUCACAGCUACAGUCAAUAUUUCAAGGAAGACAAUCUUCUCUUAGUUGCUAUUAGCUAAUUAUUAGGAUAAGGCUUAAGGAUGUACCGAUUCUGAAGGAUAAUCAUUUGGGGUAUACCCGGCUCUAAAAUAAAUAGCUGCUACAGGGACUCCACCUCUUGCAAUAGCAAAUCUUCAUUAUGUAAGUGAAACGUGCAUGUAAAGCCAAAGUUCAACAAGAUAAACUAGAGAUGUCAGCAACUACAUACACAAGUAACGUCCCAUCAGGCUGAAGUUCCCCCUCUGCAUCAAUUUCUGCUAAGGUCUUCCGAAUAGACCUCACAUUAUGUGUGUUAUAUAAUUAAGGAAGCAUCCAAAGCAAAUUAUGGACAUGAAGAGACUGAUGGACAGAAAUAGAGAACUUUAUAGUUUGGAAAGCAGAUUUUUGGACGCAGAGCAUCAUAGCAGAUAGAUGUAGAAUCCAAGAAAUGAUCUAAGAGAGACAAAGAGAGAUAAUCACAGAUAUAACCUACCCUUCUGAUAUCUCAAAACAAUCGCUAGUAUAUAGAAGGAUAUCUUUCGCUCACGACAGAGCUAAGCCAGUGCAGGUCGUACAUAUUUCGUUCCUCUGUCUGAACCACAACCAGAACAGUGGCCCUGUUAAAAGUAAUCAAUUGUAAUCAGGUCUUAAUGAAAUAUACUCCACAUAUGCAGACCUAUGAAUAAAAAAAAGAAAAGAAGACGACCAUAAUUAUUUUGCAAUUCUUACUUUGGGUUAUUGAACUCGAUCCAAGCUUUGGCCAAGGCCUCUGCAUAAUGACUCACAGCAGCAUUGGUAGGGAUCCUCCUGGGAUCUAACCCAAGAGUUUCGCCAUAAUGGCUGAGCAAGGACCCGUGUCAUUGCCACCUGACGUUAAGAUCAAGCUUUUGGUCUUCUGUGACCAUCUUUGACCGUGCAUGUGAACAGGUGCGUAUGGGCUUAGAGAAAUCACAGGGAAUGUAAGAGUCAGUACAUAUGACCAACCUAACCUGUGGAGCUCACUAACAAGACAGCCAAGACCCGGAAAUGAGGAUGAUAUGGUGUUCAGUUCUAUCUGAAGCAGUAACUUCGUUUGUUCAUCAAGCGUAUAAUCCGAUUGAUGCAAACCCAGUCGUAUCUCCUGUGGAGAAUUGAGAGAGCAAAAUUAUGGGGUUUAGCACACUAAUCAUAUUCAGCAAUCAGCAUAUUUUUCUUCCAGACGAGGAAAGCAGCCAAUCAAAGUGACAUGAACUUGAAAAGCCAGUUUUAAUACACUAUUGCAACCAAACUUAAGGUAAAGCUUUCACAAAAUUCUAAAUUUAUGAACUUACAUCUUUUUUAUUAAUUUCCAUCAUCUUGGAAUGGAUAUCUACGAGUCGAGAGGUGAAAGCAUCCACCUCUUUUGUUCUGCAAUGAGAAGAAGUUACAUCAUGUAAUUCAACAGUAAGUUCGGACUUGCUUCACCAAUGCGACAACUAAAAGCCGGACUACAAAAAUACCAUUGAUUGCAAGGAAGGUAGAAGGGCUCAUAAUUUCCAAAAUACUAGGUUAUGAGAAAAAUAGAAGAGCUAAAAGGAGUUGAAUUUUUCAUAAGCUAAGAAACAACCAAGAGCAUAUGAUACAAGCCAAAGCAGAGUGAGAAUUGAAUCAGACCUAAGAAUUCACAUGAAACAAUGGUCUUAAUCUUCUUGAAUUGGACACUAUAUGCUUAUAGCAUAAACUACAUGCCGUAUUCGACCAAAAGAAGAAAAAAAAAAAAAACUACAUGCUGCAGACAUAUAGAUAAAGCAGAAUAAAUACCUGGAUAAUGAAUCUUGUAAAAACUUUCCAUCCAAACUCACACGAUCGACAAGCUCAUUGAAAAUAGGAGCUAAUUCGCAAGCCUCCCUAAACUGACUCUCGGGAAUGAGAUGGGCAACAAAGCAAACGGAGCAUGCAUCAGACCGACACCAGGUGCUUUUCCUGAUCUCUGCAACACAUACGCAUAAAUACCAUUAUCAGUCAAACUGUAGAAUUAAACAACCCAGAUCAAAUUCGACAGGAAACUCCAUAAACAGCACAUCAGAAAGUCGCAUAUUCCAAGUCAUUGAUUUUGAUUAAUCAGAGAUCACAUCCAUCAAACUAAUGAGAGAUGGAGUGACAUCAAAAAAUUACCUCACAUAAGCACCAUAUACCCCGAGUUCUGACAUGGCGUGAUCUUUAUAACAAAUGCCAUCACGAAUGAGAGUUGUGGGAGAAAUGGACGGAAAAAUUCUAUGCAUGAGGAUAUAGGCAGCAUCCUCCUCACUCCCUUCACGUUGCAGCCUUAAUAGGGUUUCUCUCACAUCGUCGCCAUAGAUGUUGUUCCCUAAAGAGAGAAAUGACUUCAUUUUAGAAAGAAGAUAGCGCGGCUUAUAACAAAGCAAUCCUUGAAUAAUAUAAUCAAGGUGAGAGAUAAUUACCUCCCCCUUCCCUCUGGGGCUUCAUGACAAAUAGCUCGGGACUUUCAAUUGCUUUACCAACAAUAUGAGGGUCUUCUAAGCUCCAUAAACCUGCAAAGGAUUUCUGGAUCUCGGCAAUGUCUUCUUUGUUCUCAAGGAAUCUGAUAUAUGCACCAAUGGAGUCUCGUAAGUGAUCAAACACGUAGGAGAUAGAGUCUAUUCGACAGUGCAUCUUCUCCUGUAAUUAAAUUGACUUCUAAUUUUCCCAUCGAUAUGUUAUCGAGACUGUUCGGUAAGACAUAUGAAUGGAGCUAAAAUGGCCAUUUGGUAUUAAAGGUAGUCCUUAAUUCGCAGUCCUGGGUGCCAUUGAUUACAUCUUAGCUUCAAACUCAACUAAACAUCAUCAUAUUAGCUAUUGUUGUAUGCAUAGCACACAUCUAUAUACAUUUGUGCUUCAGGAGUUUUUCCAGGAAUGGUACGAUUCCAUAUAAAGCACAGAGGAUGAAGAAAUGUGAUCUGUUGAACAAAAUAUAUCACCUUUCAAGUACAUUAGGUUUUGCAAGUUCUUGCUGAAUCUUUUUCGUGCCGGCUAAAUGAUAAGAUAUGGAUGGGCACUUAAUUGCAGAUGACUCUUCCGUAAGUAGCCUUGCUCUCCAUUCCUACAAUACAGCAAGAAACAAAACUUAAGUCACACCUUUCAAGCAUUGACCCAGGGCUUAAGAUUUCCGCACUUCUUACUAUUUUAUGACAUAGGGUUUUCAAGUGGCACUAAUUUGACGCCUGUCAACUUCUUGAGGUUGUGUGAAGAAUGGAUUUCAUAUUUCCUCUUAUUGGUUUCUUUCCAUUCCCUCUGUUUACUUACUUUGUGGAUAAUCAUUUAUUUGCAUUCCACCCAGAAAUUUUUUUAAGUUGAUGACAUUUUCUGGAACAAAGUCCACUUUUUCCAUAACCAAUUGGACAAACUUGGUUAUUUGGAGGAAAUGUCAUGAUUACAUUGUUUAGUAUUCUUUUACAUCGCAUAAUGCUAUAUGUUUUGAACAUUAAGUCAAUUGUUUAGCCAAGCUUGGCUUACGAAUGUUCAUACGUACAUUAUCAAGUAUUGUUCAUUGUGGCCAGUCUCAUGGAAUUAUGAUAUAGUAAUGAGGGAAUCCUAACAAUCAAAAUGUGCAGGAAAUAGAGAAGUAUAUUAUAAUCAUGAAUCUAACAGAAAUAAUCGACUUGCAUAAAACAUCAUGAGGAUACUAAUAAUCGUUCUAUUCAAUCAUCAAUACAUAUAAAUGUAAAUCUUUAUGAAAACUAGAGUAAGGAUGCAGUCAUUAUAACAUUGUAAGAAAUGCUGACGCAGAAAUAUUUUAUGAGAAGAAUAAAACCCGCCUCAAACGCGGGAUUUUCACUAGUAUGGUAAUAAAACAUAUCUAUAAAGAAAGCAUCUGGUAAAGCUAAAAUGGAAGGAGAAAUUUUCCGAAAAUUAAUCACAACUACAAUCAAUAUUACCUCCCCCUUCCCUCUGGGGCUUCAUGACAAAUAGCUCGGGACUUUCAAUUGCUUUACCAACAAUAUGAGGGUCUUCUAAGCUCCAUAAACCUGCAAAGGAUUUCUGGAUCUCGGCAAUGUCUUCUUUCUUCUCAAGGAAUCUGAUAUAUGCACCAAUGGAGUCUCGUAAGUGAUCAAACACGUAGGAGAUACAGUCUAUUCGACAGCUCAUCUUCUCCUGUAAUUAAAUUGACUUCUAAUGUUCCCAUCGAUAUGUUAUCGAGACUGUUCGGUAAGACAUAUGAAAGGAGCUAAAAUGGCCAUUUGGUAUUAAAAGUAGUCCUUAAUUCGCAGUCCUGGGUGCCAUUGAUUACAUCUAAGCUUCAAACUCAACUAAACAUCAUCAUAUUAGCUAUUGUUGUAUGCAUAGCACACAUCUAUAUACAGACAAAAUGAGUUUCAGUCUAAUAAAAUGUAAAGCAAAGCUGGGAGCGCUUCAAGCAUCCAGCGCCGCUGCUGGUGGCGCUGUCCUGCCUUCCUCCAUAUCCGGGAGCCCCACUUUCUCCAGUAGUGCCUGAAACUGGGAUCGGUCCUCCUCCUCCUCCAUCCAUCCUCCUCCUCCGCUGCCUGUCCUUCAUCCAUGGCAUCUGGUUCCGUACGGAAGACGGAAAAUACAAGGGUUGCUCCCUGCUGUGCUGUCAUUUGCAGAAUAAAACUCUAGAGCAAAACACAAAUCAGUAUUCUUCCUAUUCCCAAAAAAAAGGCACAGCAAAAGAAAAGAGAAUACAUGGUUGAAGUUGUAUGGUAGCACAACGUCCUCUUCCCUCCCAUACUGUCCACCAAAGGAGGCGUAGAUGCGUUGAGCGACGUGGUCAACGAACGCAUCGAACUCAUCCAAAUGGAACUUGAAUCUAUCCAAACCGUUCACAAACGCAGCAAUGGCCUCCGGGGUCCCAAGACGGACCCCAUCAAAAUCCAUGCACGCUUCAUCAUAAAAGCUUAUCAGCUCUUGCCUAUCCCUUGCCAAAAUAUCAUGGUAUAACACACCCCAACCUGCCGCCAUGUCUUUGAGUCUUUCAUCAUCCAUACCUCUGUUCUGUUCAAGAACAAUAGGUGCAAAUAACGUACGCAUAAAGAAAAAAAGGAAAAAAAAAAAAAUGGCAGAGCUCGACCUCAUUUCCACAUACUGACCUGUCGACGACGCUCGAAGGGAAAAAGACGGUGGAGCCUCACCGCGAUCGCCGUCCGACGUUUGCAGAGAUUCGACGACGAAAUGAGAGAGCGGGGCGGUAUUCUGUUUAGGAUGACCGAGAAAUGGGUUUUCUCUUCCACCAAUCAGAGUUUUAAAUUUGGGAAAACACGUUUCGCGACGUCGUUUAUACUAUGUAUGCGGAGUUAGAGCAUGGGUGAGCCAAGUCAGAUUGAAAAAAAAAAAAAAUUGAUAAAAUAUUACUUAUUUUGAAUUUUCAACUAUUCAAAUCAAAGUUAACACUUGAAGUGAAUCAAUAAAGCUACAUCUACCACCACCGCCCGGCCACCAAUCUUUCCUUACACGAGAUACGAGAUUCGAGAUUGGACAGGAUAAUUCCUACUCGCCGACAUUAGACAACUCUCAAAUGGAUGAACUGGCAUUGGAUAGAGCCGUCUGAUUGGGGCAUUUUUCUGCUUCUAGGGUUUGUGUGUGGAAAUCGAACUUACUUAAAUUGUGAAGAUGUUUAAACCAAUUCGAAUUUGUGAAAGAUAUUUCUGCUUCUAGGGUUUGUGUGUGGAAAUCAAACUUACUUAAAUUGUGAAGAUGUUUAAACCAAUUCGAAUUUGUGAAAAACACGUACACAUCAGCAUUCAAAGUCCCCCUCAAAUUUAGUCGCGAUAUUUCUAUUAAUCAAGAUAAUAUAUAUAAUGAUUUCCCAAAAAUAGUCAUAAAACUUAUUACAAGGAUACCAAUUCAGUCUAAAAUUUUUCAAUUUGCUUAAUUUAGUCCUAACCUUUUAUUAAGAUUUGUCAAUAGUCUAUUCGAGCAAUUUUAAAUGACGAUAGGUGGUUGUUAGCCAAAAUUGACCGAAAUUGCUAUAUUGGUAAAUCUUCAAAAGUUUAAAAUUGAAUUAAUACAUUGAAAAAUUUUGAUUGAAUUUGCAUUUAUAUAUUAAGUUUGAGACUUAAAAAGAAAAAUCUCAUGUGCAUUGGUGGAGAAUCCGAAUGCGGUGUCAUAUCUUUUCAUUUGAAAUGUUAAUGUUUGAUACGCAUGCUGUGUUAAGCUGUAUAACGACAUGUAAACCAAAGUCCGUACAUCAUAUCUGGAAAGAUUUCGAUCGGCUAAGGACAAAUACCCGGUUAUUAUCCCACAUGGGAAAUCCGCCAACCGCGCGGUGGCAAGUCAAUGAUCUCAUCUCAAGGAUUGACCGCCGAGGUGGCCAGAGCAGCACCUCACAUUUGGCUUUUGUAGAAGAAGAAUCAAAGCGCUUUUCUUUUUGGUAUAUCUAUGAUGAUGAUGAUAUUAUUAUUAUUAUUAUUAUUAUUAUUAUUAUUAUUAUUAUUGAUCUAAUUCUCACGGACUCAAUAUAAUAUUCACACAUACCACGAGGACAUCUAGAGGACCGCAUGCACAUACGUAAGGUAUUCAUUUAUUUAUUAUUGGGUUUCCACGUUGUCUCUUCCUUUUUCUCCUUUUUCUUUUUUCAUUUUUAUAUUCCUUAGAAAUUAGCAGCCCCUUUAGAAGAAGCCUCUAUUCAAGGGGAAGAAAAGGUCGUCUCGGACUCCCCCAUCAUUGAGGUUCCACUAAAAUGACCAUUAAUUCAGGUUUUAAAUUCAAAGAGAUUGUCUCAGGUACCAACUCCUAACAAAAAAAUUAAAUUGGUCUAUACCAUGAUUUUGAUAAUUCAAAGAGAUUGUCUAAGGGAGAACCAUCACUUCAACGGGUUGCUUAUUAAACUCUCUUUUGAACUUAUCGUGGAAUCAAACUGAAUUUCAAAUGAUGACAACAAGAGCAUGUGCAGGUGCAUGGUGCUUGCAUGUAUCUUUGCGAUAUAUGGGAAAUUGGGUCAUUUGCAUGAAAAAGCUGUAGGUGCUUCUUACUUUCUUAGUUUGCUAUUGAAAGCACACGGAAAUCGAAAACCAUGGAGAAGUCUAUCAAGUGACUAAACUUGAUUAAUCUGUAGAGCAUGGCACCUAGAGUUAGGCGUAUUGUCGAUCUUGAAUUUCAACGGGUUGUUUAUUAAACUCUCUUUUGAACUUAUCGUGGAAUCAAACUGAAUUUUAGAUGAUGGCAUCAAGAAUAUGUGCAAGUCGCCACGCUUGCGUGUAUAUUUGCGAUAUAUGGAAAUGGAAAUCAAAAUCGGGCCACUUGCAUGGAAAAAGUUGGAAUUGCUUUUUACUUUCUUAGUUGGCUAUUGAAAGCACGUGGAAAUUGAAAACUAUGGAGAAGUCCAUCAAGUGACUAACCUUGAUUAAUCUGUAGAGUUAGGCGUACCGUCGGUCUUGAAUUUUCCGUAUGCAUCGUGAUGAGGGUAUAGAUAAGGGCUUUGCCUAGUAGAGAGGGGUGUGCACGCUAAAUUUUCAGCAUUAAGCUAAAACAUUCUCCUGUGGGUGAUCUAUAGUCUACUGACGCUAGACGCCCUUCUUUUUUCUUUUUUCUGGGUGUGAAAUUAAAAAGAAAAAGAAAAAAAGAGAAGUAAAACUUGUUAGAAACAAUAAUUAUCAAGUUGGAAUGUAGAAAUCAUGUUCAAUGUAUUGUUACUGUGAUUUAAUAUUUGCUUCUUUUCGUUUCUAAUUUGCUAAUAACUUGACAUCCCUUCUAUAGUUAAAAAGGUUGUGAUAGUUGCGGACGAAGACUUUUGCAUUACAUUGUUUAGGCUGUUUUUUCACAUGCAUUGCUUGUCACUAUAUAGUAAUGAUCUUUUAAAAUGAGCAAUAAACUUAUAUCUUAACCCAUAUUUGAAAAGUUGAGUUAUUGCAUGGAUUAGUUAUAUUUAGUAAAUGGAUUUAAAAUAGUAAAGUCUAAAAUAAUAUGGAUAUUAAACAAACUCACGGUUUACUUAAACCAAUUCACCUCUAUGACUCUCUCUCGCCCUUACUAAUCUCGCAAUCACUCACUCCACGUCCUUACCUCAGUUUGCAGAUGAGUUUUCCUAUAUUAGGUAGAACAUGAAAGCGCUUUAACCAUAUGAAUUAGGUUAGAUAGAAAAACGCGUCAGAUCAUUAUGAGUAUCUAAAUUUGUAUUGCAUAAAAAUAAGUCAAAACAACUUAAAUUGGCCAAAUUAGGUCAAUUUAUUUUUCACUCAACCCAAACCCAACCUAAUCCACCCAUUUCACGAGUCUCUAUAAUACUAAGUAUUAGGUUUUUAUCUCUUGUUUCCAACUAUACAAAUUUUUUUUCUAAAGUAUUAAAGCUCGAUGGUCAGAGUUCUAAUCCUAACCCCGACACAUACUAUUCUUCACGCGUACUUCGAUUUUUGGCAUGCCCACAUUUGUCUACCUUUUCCAUUCUUGUUGUCAUAGAAUCCUCACCAUGUCCUAAAUUGAGGAAUGAAUUAGACUGAAGAAGUAAUUUCGUAGGGAAGUCGACUCAUGCCGUUUGUUCAGAAGAUCGCCUCAAAGUAAAUGGAUUGAUUCGCUUGGAGGAAAUUGAUGUGCACUUGUCGGUGCGUCUAACAUUUUUUUUUUUAUAAAUAUCAUUUGUAUUGAAUGACUAAAAUAUAUUUUUAUUUUUCUAUGCAAAUAUUUAAAAAUAAAUGGUUAUCGAUAAAGAAAUUACUUUGUAUUGAUUAAUUAUUUCAUAAAAUAAGCAAUUAUUUUUAAAAUAUAUAUUUUCAGAUUAUUUAUUUUUCACCAAACAAACGGAGUUUGCUUAAUUGUUCGAUUGAUGCUAUUGGUGUUUCUUUUCAAUUCAAUCGCCUCGUCAACAAUCUCCUCUGACCCCUUAACGAACCCCUCUCUCUCUCUUCAAUUCCCUCACCUCCUCGCACGUACCCCGCCCGCAUUGUCUCCUCCUCCUGCAAUUGCCGUUUUUCCAAUUUCACCGCCUUCAUCGCCACCUCCACCUCCUCGAUACGCCCCUCCCCUCUCCUAAUCUCAUCCAUCCAUCUCAGAACCACCGAAACCUUCUCCAGCAAUCUCUCCGUGCAAUUCCAAUACUCGUGCCCUUUCACUUCCGACCGCUCCUCAAUUCUCUCCAAAUUCAGCCGUAGCGGUGGCGAAGAAGGGGCUGAACUGGAAAAAGAAAAAACAAGGGGGGGCUUUCUAGUCUUUUCAGCCGACAGAGAACCGGUUUCGGGUCGGUCGGUGGAUCCGGACCCGAUGAUUCCAAAAUAAAAAAGAAAACCCUGGAAGCCCUAGAGAAAUUGUCUCCAGUUCACACAGAUCCAGCAGGAGGAGGAGGAGGAGGAGGAGGAGGAGAGAUGUCGACGAUCGGUCCAGAAGACGUGACAGAAGCGGAAGGAGGAGGAGGAGGAGAGAUGUCGAUGGUGGGUCCGGAAGAAGACAGGGAUCCGAUGAUAGCGGAGGCCAAGCGGUUCGUGGAGAACUACUACAGCACGUUCGACGCGAACAGGGAGGGCUUGGUGAACCUGUACCGGCAACGAUCGGUGCUGAAAAUCGACGGCCGGAAGAUCCAGGGCAAGGAGGCUAUCCUCGCCAAACUCAC
rnacentral:lncRNA from 1 species